GAAUAUGGGGGGACCAUCCUCCAAGGCUAAAUACUCCUGACUGACCGAUAGUGAACCAGUACCGUGAGGGAAAGGCGAAAAGAACCCCGGCGAGGGGAGUGAAAAAGAACCUGAAACCGUGUACGUACAAGCAGUGGGAGCACGCUUAGGCGUGUGACUGCGUACCUUUUGUAUAAUGGGUCAGCGACUUAUAUUCUGUAGCAAGGUUAACCGAAUAGGGGAGCCGAAGGGAAACCGAGUCUUAACUGGGCGUUAAGUUGCAGGGUAUAGACCCGAAACCCGGUGAUCUAGCCAUGGGCAGGUUGAAGGUUGGGUAACACUAACUGGAGGACCGAACCGACUAAUGUUGAAAAAUUAGCGGAUGACUUGUGGCUGGGGGUGAAAGGCCAAUCAAACCGGGAGAUAGCUGGUUCUCCCCGAAAGCUAUUUAGGUAGCGCCUCGUGAAUUCAUCUCCGGGGGUAGAGCACUGUUUCGGCAAGGGGGUCAUCCCGACUUACCAACCCGAUGCAAACUGCGAAUACCGGAGAAUGUUAUCACGGGAGACACACGGCGGGUGCUAACGUCCGUCGUGAAGAGGGAAACAACCCAGACCGCCAGCUAAGGUCCCAAAGUCAUGGUUAAGUGGGAAACGAUGUGGGAAGGCCCAGACAGCCAGGAUGUUGGCUUAGAAGCAGCCAUCAUUUAAAGAAAGCGUAAUAGCUCACUGGUCGAGUCGGCCUGCGCGGAAGAUGUAACGGGGCUAAACCAUGCACCGAAGCUGCGGCAGCGACGCUGAUGCGUUGUUGGGUAGGGGAGCGUUCUGUAAGCCUGCGAAGGUGUGCUGUGAGGCAUGCUGGAGGUAUCAGAAGUGCGAAUGCUGACAUAAGUAACGAUAAAGCGGGUGAAAAGCCCGCUCGCCGGAAGACCAAGGGUUCCUGUCCAACGUUAAUCGGGGCAGGGUGAGUCGACCCCUAAGGCGAGGCCGAAAGGCGUAGUCGAUGGGAAACAGGUUAAUAUUCCUGUACUUGGUGUUACUGCGAAGGGGGGACGGAGAAGGCUAUGUUGGCCGGGCGACGGUUGUCCCGGUUUAAGCGUGUAGGCUGGUUUUCCAGGCAAAUCCGGAAAAUCAAGGCUGAGGCGUGAUGACGAGGCACU
rnacentral:rRNA from 1 species